UUUAAGUGCAGCCAUACUUUUCCGUACUCAACUUUGAUCGUCCGUCUUAUUUAAAAAAAUUUGAAAACAUAAGUCACACAUAAAGUACUAUUUAUGUUUUAUCAUCUCAUAACAACAAAAAAAAACUAAUUACAAAAAAAUUUCAAAUAAGAUGGACGAUCAAAAUUGGGCACGAAAACUCAUGGUUGCACUUAAA
rnacentral:pre_miRNA from 1 species